CUGAAUACUACACUCUCUACCCUUUGUGAACUAUUAUACCUGUUGCUUCGGCGGCGCCCGCGAGGGUGCCCGCCGGUCUCAUCAGAAUCUCUGUUUUCGAACCCGACGAUACUUCUGAGUGUUCUUAGCGAACUGUCA
rnacentral:misc_RNA from 1 species